CUCUGCUCAAAUGAUUUUUUAAAUUGCUGUGGUAUUUUGACUAUACAAAGGUAUUGAAAUAAGAUUUUAAUUGAAUGCUAAGAGAAUGGAAUAUCAAAAAACAACUUUCUUAAAAUUAAAAAUUGAAAUUUUUUUAAUUUGUGUAAAAACAAUUAUAAAAAUUAAAGACAAGAAGACCCUAAGAAUUUUUAAAAUUUAAAUAAUACAUUUUUUGUUUUAAUUAAAUUUUAACUGGGGCGGUUAAAAAAUAUUAAAAACUUUUUAAUUUAAAAAUGACCCAUUAUUAAUGAAAAUAUGAUUAAAUACUCUAGGGAUAACAGCGUUAUAUUUUUUGAUAGAUCAUAUUGACAAAAAAGUUUGCGACCUCGAUGUUGGAUUAGGAUACUUUUUCUAAUGAAGAUAUUAAAAUAAGAAGUUUGUUCAACUUUUAAAUUCCUACUUGAUCUGAGUUCAGACCGG
rnacentral:rRNA from 1 species